AUUAAUUAAGGACUCAUGGGAUGAUCAAGUAAAGAUAAGCUUUUUUAUUUUAUUUAUCUUUUUGGUGAUUGGAAAAAAUGGUGAAUUAAGUAUAGAGAAGGUUACUAAUGAAGUCAAUUAUAUUUUUUCCAUUGGUAAAUCUUCCGGUGGGGCCUGUUGGGUAGUCGAUGCCAUAUGGUCUGUAAUUGGAACUUGCAUUUGUUUGAAGGUUGUUGUUAUUUCCAUUGUCAGAUAGAGAGUCCCCAAGGACGAACAUGCAAGGCACUUGCGAUUCUCCAUGGACACAUUGUUGCAUGCAAUUUGUAGCCAAUAGAAAUAGAGAUAGAGCCAACCAUGGCUUAGUCUUAGCUUCCAUCUUGAUCGAUGUAGCUAGGUAGAAAAGCUAAUGAGACAAAAGAGUUUGGGUUACUAUAUAUAUAUGAUCCAGGAAGUAAGGAGUGUGGCAAGUGAAAGAUGAAAGGUACAUGUAUAUAUGGGGUGGGGUGACAAAGUUGUUCAAAAUUUGGAAGAUUAUUAUUAUUAUUAUUAAGUAGUCAGAAUAAAGAAAUAUUGAAGGACAACGAGUUUGGCAUGUUUUUCUUGUUUGUUAACCAAAUUAAGGUGACAUUAGUGCUAAGAUGACGAAUUUGGCAAUUUGUUACUAAUAAAAGCAAAGAAGGUCCAAACUAAUAAAUAUUUCAAUUUAAUUUGCACCGAUGAACACGAAAUCCUUGAUGAACGUGCGACCAUAUAUCCUUGUUUUUGCAUUUUGCUCAACUCCUGUGUUGAAAAGUAAACAUACACCAAGCAGCAGCAGGCAAGCACGUUCAACGGCUUUUUUUUUUAGUUUCAUGAUAUAUCUUGAUUUGAUAUUCAAACUUUGAUUUUAGUUUCUUUAUUUUCCAUUUAGUCAUCUAUAAAAAUUAUGUGAAUUUAAUUCUAUUUUUCACUUUGUGACAGGAAAAAACUGUCACUUGUGAAGUUUAAACAAAAAAGAAGGAUUAUAUUCUAAUAUUAUUAAAAGUUAAAGGAUGCUUGAAAGUAUAAAAAUUAAAACCAAAUUUAAGAAAAAAAAUAAAAAAUUAAAUUAUAUUGAUGUAAUUUUAAUAAUUAUUAUAUUAUUUUUAUAACUUAAUAUAUAAUAUAAUGUAACUAAUUAUUGGAUUAUAUCUAUAUAAUUAUUGUUUAUGUUAAAUUUUAUUAAAAUUAAACAAUAACAAGAUAAUCAAAUAAUUUAUGUUUUAAUAUAUUUAAUAUUAUAUUGAUUUUAAUCUAUUUGAACGGGAUAAAACGCAGAAACUAAAAUCAUAUUUUUCUCUUUUUAAUAUAAAAAGUCUCUUUUAAAAUAAAAUAUGAUAUGUUAAAGAAAAAAAUUCCUUUUGAACUUUAAUUAUUAAAAUUUGAAUUCAAUUUCAUUUAAUUUUGAUUACGCACUUUACUUAACUGUUUAGUAUUUUAGAUUUUUAGUUUCUUAUCUUAAAUUUUAUUUUUAUAUAUUAUUUUAAUUUAUUACUAUGUUUAACUUUAAUGAAUUUUUCAUUGUUUCUUAUCUUUUGUAUUUACAACCUUUUAAUCUUAUUCUUUUAUAUUCUUAUAGUCACAAGUUCUAAUAAAAAUAAUAUUUAUUUAAUUUUUUAUUUAUAUAUUCAUUAACUUAAGUUUUGUUUAUAUGAAUGAUAUAUGAGUUUAAAAACUUGCAAGUUUCAAUAAUGAAAAUAUUUUAAUAUUUACUUUUUUUGUAUAUUUACAUUUGAGUUUUAAUUAUGCUAAACUUAUAUAUUUUGGAUUAUUUUGAACAAGUUUUAACGAUAAAAUUAAAGGGAGAAAUCUAAUUCAAUAUUCUUCGACUGAAAUAAAAAUAAAAUAUUCAUGUUAAAAUUGUUGCAUGCAAUUUGCAGCCAAUAUAUAGAAAUAGAGAUAGAACCAACCAUGGCUUAGUCUUAGCUUCCAUCUCGAUGUAGGUUGGGUUAUUAUGAUCCAGAAAUUACAAGGUUGGGGUGGCAGUGUGUGUCCUAGUUGGAAGAUUUUUUUUCUUACAAUGAAACUAAUGAAGCAGUAACUAACAUUAUUGCAAAGAUGACGAGUUAGGCAAGUUUCGUUACUAAUUAAUAACAACAGAAGGUCUACAAAAGAAGCUCUAAUUAAUAAUUCAGACCGUUGAAUUGGGUAAAUUAAUAUUGAUACGGAUUGUAUUAGCUUAAUGGUUUUAGAUAUAUAUACAGAAUUUUCCGGUCUAUCCAAAACAACUUUUUAAAAAAAAAAAAAAAUCUUUGAAACAUGAUGUAAAAAAAUGAAAAAAAAAACUCAUAUAUAUUGAACUUUGAUUAUAAAACUUCAUAUUUGAUUUCAUUUCAUUUGAUUGCUUCAAUAAUUUUAAUGUUAUCAUUAUGUUUUGGCAACGGUAUUGACUGCAUGCAUGUAUUGUCUUUUUUGGGGGGACUUUAAUUUUUCUGUUAAUUUUAAUCUUUACCUAUGCAUGCUGCUAUGCUCCAUGCAUGUAUCGCUUCUGAUACUCUGUUAGUGUUUUCCAUCCGUUUGUAGUUGGUUCGAAUUAACCCUGAGCUUUGCGGGAUUGGUUUGCAUUGGUUAUAUAUUUGUUAUUUGGUUAUUUUCUCAUGCCUAAAAAGAUCUCGCUUUUUCAGGAAGAAAGCCAGAUAUAGGCACUUGGGUCGCAUUAAUCAAUAUCUUAAUUCCUUAAGAAAUUGGUUAAAAAUCAAAAGAAAAAAUUAUUAAUAAAAAUCAUUAGUGUAUAGAAAAAAUUAUAAACAUAACUUCAUACGUGUUAAUAAAUAUUUUUAUUCUUUUAAUUCCUUAAUUGAUAUCUAAGGACAUUCAUUAACAUUUAUUUAUCUAUUUUUUAUUGGAUGAGGUAAAAAUAAAUAAGAAAAUAAUCCUAAAUGGUCUUCGGCUUCAUUUUGUAUAGGAAAUGAUAUGAUUAGGCAACCCACAUUUAAUUGUCUUGAUGAUUAUGUAAGGCACUAUGCUAGGUGAUUUUUUUAACGCAAUAAUUAUCCAAUAGAAUUAAUUCAAAUAAUAAGAUUCAAUUAUUAAUAGAUUAACUACUUAAAGGAUAUAAAUAAAGAUAAAUAAUAAUAAUAAAACUAAAAUAUUUAAAUAAAAAUUAAUGAAUGAACUCUAAAAAAUGCACUAAAAAUAAAAAUAAAAGCUAUUAUAGCCAAUGAAAAAACUGGUUGAUAUUUUAAUCCUUAAAUUUAAAUUUAAAAUUAAAAAAAUAAAAAUAUAAAGCUUUAGUAAUAAUCACUUUCAUUGAUCAAAAUAAGUAAUAAGCAAUUUUUUUAAAGAAUUAGGACUAGUUUGCUUAAGUUUAUUUUUUAAAACAAGUAUUUUUUAAAUAAAAUAAAAAUUUUAUGAUUUUUUGAUGUGUUUGUCUAAAUUAUUUUUUAACUUAAAAUAAACAUUUUAUAUUUUUUGAAAAUUAAAUUUUAUCUGUUUUUUUAAAAAAAUAUAUUUAUAUAAGAAGCAUUUAUUUUAAAUUUAUUUUUUCAAGUUUAAAAAAAUUUAUCCUCAAUAAUAAUUACUUUGAAUAUACUUCCGAUUUAAUUAUUACGAAAAUCAUAAAAAAUAUUCAUCAUCAUUUUGGAUGAAUUUUCAAUUAGAUUAUCACAAAUGCCUUUUAAAGUUAGGGAAUGGUGGUCAAUAUUCUGGGGAGCUUUCACGUGGAGCAUUUGGUAUCAGAGAAAUGCUGUGAUCUUUGAUGGAAAGAGCCUGGACAAAGGGCAAAUUUUACAGAAAAUAUUAUUCUUGGGUUGGUCGUGGUUAAAAGCAUACCACAAUUUUUCUUUCUAGCAUUGGCAUGCUAACCCUGCUGCGUGUCUGUCUUAAUUGUCUCAGAUCAAAUUACACUACAAACCAUUUUUAUAUUUCUAUAGAAAUUCUAAUAAUAGUUUCUGUUAAUUAACAUAUAAUAUUUUAACCAGAAAACCAUUUAUUAAUAUAUUUGUACAUUUUUUACAAAAAUAUGUUACUAAGUUAUUUGUUUUUUAUAAUAUAUUUUCAGUCAUAAAUUCUUUCUCUCUUAGCUUUUAAGUUUUAUUACUAAUGACAAAUUUGGAAUUAGAAAUUUUUUUAAACUCAAAAGCUUUUCCUCUCCCUUCUUCCUUCACCCUUAAACUCCUAUUUUCCAAUCAUGAAACCAAUCUUAUAUAUUUUCAAAUCAAAAGUUUUGUGAUAUAUAUAUAGCAACGUUGAGGCAUAGAAAGGAAACAAUGAUAAGGUAUCAGGUGAGUGAAGACUAACUUAAUCGGUAAAUUAAAAAUAUUUUAAUAUAUAUUUGAUUAAAAAUAUAUUUUCAAUAUCAUUUAAUAAAUAUUCUCUAAUUAACAGUAUUUGUUAAAUGUCCUAUAUUAGGAAAGUGCAGUGCAGUACUUGCAUAUGAGCAUAUCUUAGGAAAGAAAGAUUUUUUUACAGAAUCUUAGGAAAGAAAGAUGUAAUCUUUUUAAGAGUAUUUUUUAUAGUAUCAAGUUAAAUGAACUAAACUUUAUAUUUUAUAUUUUAAUAUAAGGGGAGAUAAUAUAUAGUUACAUUUCUCAAAGGGCUGGACAAGUGUAAUUUACUUGGAAAUUUAAUAACGUUAUAACUUUGAUAAACAAUAUGUAUCUCCGCACUUAUAUAAAAGAAAUCGAAGACUAUUAUUUACUCCGCACUUAUUUAGGUUGAUAUUAUAUCUUAUAAAAUUUAUUGGAAACUAUAAAAUUAGGUGAGACUCGGUUAAUAAGGAGUGAGACUCACAUAAUUUGAUGAUUUCCAAUAAAUUAACACAGAAACAAUAUGUUCUUAGGAUUUCUUAAUUAUUUAAGGACGUAUUGUAAUUGGACUGAACAAGGCUCUUGAUAUUCCCUGGGUAAGUGAAGGCUGGAUUAGAACCAUUAUAAGCAAGGGUUGCAACGAAUCUGUUGAAAGCUUCUGUGGUACUGAGCCCAUCCCAAAACACGUGUUGAGCCCUAUUCUGGCAUGCUGUUGAAUUCUGAACACACAGCACAUUCAACCCUAUUGGGCAGCAAGAAGCAUUCGUUACAGUGAAACCUGAAACACACAUGGACCAGAUUGUGUUGCGUAAGACAUUCAAAUGCUUUAAUCUAUAGGAUGCAUGGUUUUAAACAACGGUCCACGAGGUUAAGAUAUUUUGACAAUCUAUAAUCGCAUCACAAUGGUAAUUACGAUCACAUUAUCAGUUGUAUUUUUUCAUAAUGUAAAGAUUUUUUCUGACUCACACAAUCCCACGGCAACCACCGCAAUUUAAAAUCAUGAUUGGAUGUGAAAAAAAGUGUAAGAAAAUCGAAAUGCAUACAUACCACCGGUAUUGACGAUGCCAAGGUUUCUGGCUGUGUUGUUUACAAAGAUGAAUUUGGAAUCAGGAGCCCGGUUAUUGUAUUGGUCCACUAGAGAUCUAAGCUUGCCAUUGAAUAUUCCCGCAGCAUUAUUCAUCACUUCAUAGCAAGAUCCAUUUGUUUUAUACGUAGUGAUGGCAUAUGGAGAGCAGCCUAUACGACCCAUCCCUUGUAACACGAAUUUUCUUGCCCCAAGUCGUUGCAGAUGCUGCCCUCCAAAACCAUAUUUUCAUAAUUAUAAAUUGUUUUCAAUAUAGGUGUAAAUCAUACUAGGGUUGUCAAAUGACGGCUAAUAAGUUGGAGCCACAUUCAACAUGCACUGCCAAUAAUAUGUGGAAUCUAUAAUCAAAGUAAACUUUAAGGACACAUGCUUUUAUUGACUCAAGAUUAAUUAGUAUAAAUAAUUUCAGCAUCUAUUUAUAUAUAAUAUAUUCACAUAAAUUUGUGAAAAUUGAAAUACUACGACGAGCCUAUUUUUUUAACUUUCGAGGUCCUAGUGCUAUAUAGGGUUUUUAAUUAACUCCCAAAAAAUGAUUAUUUGACAUGCCUUAAGAAGGAAAGAGAGGAAAUAAAAAAAAUGUGACGAAUGUGUGAUAAAAAAAAUAUUAAACAAUUGUAAAAAUUAGACUGUAAAAAAAAUUAUUUGUUGAAACCCAUACGAUGAUUUUUUCAGUUUAAUUGUAAGUCUUUACUCUUAAAAAUUUUCAGUUGUUUAAUUUAAUUUUUGAAAUAAAUGUUUUAUAAAAAAAAUUGUUAAUAAAAUCCUUUUUUUCAUUUUUCUUGUUUAAUUUUUUAAAAUAUUAUAAGUUUUUUCAUUGCAAUAUUUUGAUGGAUCAGAUAUAAAAAGAGUGAUAUUUAGAAUGAUGAAAGGACUUAUAAUAUUUAAAUAAAUUAAAUGAGAAACAAAGAAUACGAAAAAAUGUUUUAUGCAAAAAUCAAUUUAAAAAAUAUAAUUAAAUAAAAAAUACAAAAUUAUAAAAAUUAAUACUUAAUUAAACCAAUUUUGUGUAAAAUCAUAGGUAUUCUCUUUGGAAGGAAAUCCUUGUCAAGAAUUUGAAUCUUAAUUCAUCAUAUUUAUGAGAAAAACUAACAUCUUCUAUUAGCUAGGCUAAGUCUUUAUUAGUAAAUGUUAUUAGUGGCUUCAUUAGGUAAAUUGUCGCUCUAAGAACAUAAAUUUAAAAACCUGAAAAUUAAAGUUCUUGUCAUGUUAUGUAUUAUAAAAAUAAUUUUUAGACUAGUAAGUAUAUGAAAAAAGACUAAGUGAGGGCAUGACCGUGACAAAACUCAAAAUUUAAAUUAAUGCUUAUUUAAAUUUGAAUUAAGAGGACACAUACUCUCCCAAAGACUUUAUAAAUUGUUAGAGUUUAUUGAAAAUUAUUAACUUUUGGUAAGUUUCGUUUUUUUAUUUAAUAUAAAUCAGUAGAAAAUAAUUAUAUGAGAAAUAAAACUUAUCAAAAACUAUAAUUUCUAAAAAAUUCUAAUCAAUCAUAAACAAACUCUUAGAAAAAGAGUAUGUUAACAUUUUUCUUAAACUAAUAUUUAAUAAAGUCAAGGCCGCUAUUUAAAAUUUAAAUCUGUUUUCAGAUUAAUAUAUUACUUUUUCAAAAUUUUCUAUUUAUAAAAAUUUAAUUAUUGAGAUUCAAAUAAAAAUAAGUCAAAAGUGACUUCAUAUAGGACCCGACGCGAAUCCAAACAAUUCGUAGUAUUGUAAAUUAAUAAUUGAUCCAAUAGUUUGAUUUGAAUUUUAUAAUUACGAGUGCUGCGAAAAGCGCCAAUUUGUGAGGCAAAGUGAAAAGCAAAUAGAAAAUUGUUAAAAUACCUGUAUAUAUCGAGAGUAGCGCCUAAUAAGAUCGUUCGCGUAUCCCUCAAGGUCAUACACUCUGCUUGUUCGGUAAUAUAGCGGAAGGAAGUAAUUAUUUAUGUAAUCACUGUUGCCUAUAUGCACGUAGUACAAGCACUUGUUAAGGUGUUGUCCAGCUUUCUCUAAACUUCCAAGUCUUGGAGCAAUUUGGUAAUAUAUAUUCAUUCUGUGAUUCAUGAUUUGUCUUUCCAAAUUGAUAUUGGCGCCCUGCGUUGUACGUGUAAUUCACUAAUUUAGUGGCAUGCAUGGGUGAGUAUUGAAUUGAAAUACGUGUAAAAUUAUACCAAAUUAAACCAAUUAAAGAUAGAGAUGAACAAAUAAAGAAGGAUAUAUACUAGAUGCGUGCCGGUCUCAGGGCGAAUCCCUGCUGAUCCAGAUGCAUAGUUGGCACCCUUAAGUAUGUCCGAGCCACUAGUGUUUGCAUUGGGUGGGAUGCGUUCCGUAAAUCCCAAAAGCUCAGCUACAAUUAAUAAUGGUUAAACAACGUUAAUUUGUGAUCUAAACAAAUGAAAAAAAGUGUAGGAUAAGAUAAUACAGCAGGGAAAGGACACAUGUCAACUAAGUAUAAUUAAGCUUUAUUUUUAUGGUGAUUGAGAGAGAGAGAGAGAGAAUUAAUGCUACCAUACGUACCAAUUAUGUCAGCUUGCGUUAGUCCAUUGGUAAAUCUACCAGUUGUGCCUGCUGGGAAGUCGAUGCCAUAUGGUCUGUAAUUGGAUUUUGAAUAUGUUCGAAGGUUGUUGUUAUUUCCAUUGUCAG
rnacentral:lncRNA from 1 species